rnacentral:rRNA from 1 species
GACGAACGCUGGCGGCGUGCCUAAUACAUGCAAGUCGAACGAGAGCGACCGGUGCUUGCACUGGUCAAUCUAGUGGCGAACGGGUGAGUAACACGUGGGUAACCUGCUCAUCAGAGGGGGAUAACAUCCGGAAACGGAUGCUAAAACCGCAUAGGUCUUCGAGCCGCAUGGCUUGAAGAGGAAAAGAGGCGCAAGCUUCUGCUGAUGGAUGGACCCGCGGUGCAUUAGCUAGUUGGUGAGGUAACGGCUCACCAAGGCCGUGAUGCAUAGCCGACCUGAGAGGGUGAUCGGCCACAUUGGGACUGAGACACGGCCCAAACUCCUACGGGAGGCAGCAGUAGGGAAUCUUCCGCAAUGGACGCAAGUCUGACGGAGCAACGCCGCGUGAGUGAAGAAGGUUUUCGGAUCGUAAAACUCUGUUGUUAGAGAAGAACAAGUGCUAGAGUAACUGUUAGCGCCUUGACGGUAUCUAACCAGAAAGCCACGGCUAACUACGUG